CGAGGGCGGGGCUCUCGUGCUCAGGCUGAGGGGACAAGAGGUGACAAUGAAGGUGGAGAACUGGGAAACGCAGGAGAUGUGGCGAGGAUUCAUCCUGACCAUGACCAAGAUGAGGAUGCCCCGGGACCUGGCGCUGCUGCCCGGACACAACGUGCAGCUCCUGGAAGCUCUG